rnacentral:rRNA from 1 species
GACGAACGCUGGCGGCGUGCUUAACACAUGCAAGUCGAACGGAAAGGCCUCUUUCGGGGGGUACUCGAGUGGCGAACGGGUGAGUAACACGUGAGUAACCUGCCCUUGACUUUGGGAUAACUUCAGGAAACUGGGGCUAAUACCGGAUAGGAGCUCCUGCUGCAUGGUGGGGGUUGGAAAGUUUCGGCGGUUGGGGAUGGACUCGCGGCUUAUCAGCUUGUUGGUGGGGUAGUGGCUUACCAAGGCUUUGACGGGUAGCCGGCCUGAGAGGGUGACCGGCCACAUUGGGACUGAGAUACGGCCCAGACUCCUACGGGAGGCAGCAGUGGGGAAGAUUGCACAAUGGGUGGAAGCCUGAUGCAGCAACGCCGUGUGCGGGAGGACGGCCUUCGGGUUGUAAACCGCUUUCGCUCAUGACGAAGCUUUGUGUGACGGUAGUGGGUAAAGAAGCACCGGCUAACUACGUG